UACAGAGGUCUCGAGCGUUGGGCGGAAUCACUGGGCUUAAAGCGUGUGUAGGUGGAUGCCUAAGUACCUUGUGAAAUCCCUCGGCUUAACCGGGGAACUGCGUCCGAUACUGGUUGGCUUGAGUUUGGGAGAGGGAUGCGGAAUUCCAGGUGUAGCGGUGAAAUGCGUAGAUAUCUGGAGGAACACCGGUGGCGAAGGCGGCAUCCUGGACCAAUACUGACGCUGAGGAGCGAAAGCCAGGGGAGCAAACGGG
rnacentral:rRNA from 1 species